rnacentral:rRNA from 1 species
GACGAACGCUGGCGGCGUGCUUAACACAUGCAAGUCGAACGGUGAAGCCCAGCUUGCUGGGUGGAUCAGUGGCGAACGGGUGAGUAACACGUGAGUAACCUGCCCCUGACUCUGGGAUAAGCCUUGGAAACGAGGUCUAAUACCGGAUACGAGACGCUCGGGCAUCCGAAGUGUCUGGAAAGAUUUAUCGGUCAGGGAUGGACUCGCGGCCUAUCAGCUUGUUGGUGGGGUAGUGGCCUACCAAGGCGACGACGGGUAGCCGGCCUGAGAGGGCGACCGGCCACACUGGGACUGAGACACGGCCCAGACUCCUACGGGAGGCAGCAGUGGGGAAUAUUGCACAAUGGGCGCAAGCCUGAUGCAGCGACGCCGCGUGAGGGAUGAAGGCCUUCGGGUUGUAAACCUCUUUCAGCAGGGAAGAAGCGCAAGUGACGGUACCUGCAGAAGAAGCGCCGGCUAACUACGUGCCAGCAGCCGCGGUAAUACGUAGGGCGCAAGCGUUGUCCGGAAUUAUUGGGCGUAAAGAGCUCGUAGGCGGUUUGUCGCGUCUGCUGUGAAAACUCGAGGCUCAACCUCGGGCUUGCAGUGGGUACGGGCAGACUAGAGUGCGGUAGGGGUGACUGGAAUUCCUGGUGUAGCGGUGGAAUGCGCAGAUAUCAGGAGGAACACCGAUGGCGAAGGCAGGUCACUGGGCCGCAACUGACGCUGAGGAGCGAAAGCAUGGGGAGCGAACAGGAUUAGAUACCCUGGUAGUCCAUGCCGUAAACGUUGGGCACUAGGUGUGGGGCUCAUUCCACGAGUUCCGUGCCGCAGCAAACGCAUUAAGUGCCCCGCCUGGGGAGUACGGCCGCAAGGCUAAAACUCAAAGAAAUUGACGGGGGCCCGCACAAGCGGCGGAGCAUGCGGAUUAAUUCGAUGCAACGCGAAGAACCUUACCAAGGCUUGACAUACACCGGAAACUUCCAGAGAUGGUUGCCCCGCAAGGUCGGUGUACAGGUGGUGCAUGGUUGUCGUCAGCUCGUGUCGUGAGAUGUUGGGUUAAGUCCCGCAACGAGCGCAACCCUCGUCCUAUGUUGCCAGCGGAUUAUGCCGGGGACUCAUAGGAGACUGCCGGGGUCAACUCGGAGGAAGGUGGGGAUGACGUCAAAUCAUCAUGCCCCUUAUGUCUUGGGCUUCA